UAGAAGGGCCGCGGGAGCGCAGGACGGCGCGCCGGUACUUCACUGUGGGCCAUGGAACGAGCUGCAGUCAUCAUGCUUCUCGUCCUGCGGCUCUGAGCUGUCCUUGUUCACAGAAUACUGCACGCCGGCAGUUUCAGUAACAUUAAAUCAACUGGGCUGUUAGGUGGCCUGGCCUUCCUGCUUCAGGCAUAGUCAAGUCUCCACAAUGUGACUUUUACAGGCAGGCAUCUGUUCAUUUUUCAUCACUGAGCAAAGCUGGAAGUCUUGACACUUGUCAAUAUUGCAUUCCCGGGACACAAUCGGCGUGCGAGUCGCCCAGUGUGGCGUUGAGUGAAUUAAGACUUGCGCUUGGUGGCCAAACUUCCUGGAUAGGGCCUCCCGGCCAACGAUGCCAUACGCUCAUUUCAUAUUUUUCCUGGGACACACAAUUCAGCCACUUACAUUAGAGCAGUUAUGGAAAAUACAAGUGAAACAAAUGGAUGCUAUGUUCUCACACAAGAUACUGAUGUCUGGAGACAGUCAGUGCACGGAAUUCGAGAUUUAGACCUUACAAUUUGUGACUACCCUGGCACCAAGGCAGCUAACUACCUAUGCUCCUGCCAGACAAGACUGGUUCACAAUCUGGAAGUGAAGUGACAUCUGAUGGCUUUGCACCAACCUUUAUACUGAGCCAUAAUUCGCAGAUUGGCCAUGGUAGCGCCACAAUCGAGAGCUGGAGCGGAAAAUGUUGAACACCAACCUGAGAAAAAUUUGUGUCAGUUUCAGCAAAAGAAAAAAAAGGAGAAUUUCGCACCAACUUUUUUGGGAAAGAACAAGAGCAGAUUGGUGACAUCGGUUCUCAUCCAGAUUCAUGCCAUACACCAGCGUUAGUGCCACCUUAAUGUCCACAAGAACGGGAGUAUACUAAUUUGUAUAUCUUUAGCUGUAAUUGGAUAGCAUGAAUAAGUAGUAGACUUAGAUGGAAUGAGUAGGACUGAAGUGAAUGCGUAGUGUAUGCCGACUUAGUAUUUUUUGUGCAUGAAAGGUUAUGGGAAAUUAACACUACCCUAUCAUACAGUACAUCGGUUCUCAUCCAGAUUCAUGCCAUACACCAGCGUUAGUGCCACCUUAAUGUCCACAAGAAUGGGAGUAUACUAAUUCGUAUAUCUUUAGCAGUAAUUGGAUAGCAUGAAUAAGUAGUAGACUUAGAUGGAAUGAGUAUGACUGAAGUGAAUGCAUAGUGUAUGCCGUCUUAGUAUUUUUUGUGCAUCAAAGGUUAUGAGAAAUGAACACUACACUAUCAUACAGUACAACACCUCACCACCACUUAAGAUUACAAAGAAAUUUAAUCAUUUAAAAUUAUCACUGUAAUAAUAUCAAAUUAUUUAUGUAAUAGAAUAGGAUUAUAUAUUAGGCAUUGUCAACCCUUUUAUUCUUUUAUUCUGUGAGGAAUCUUUCAUUAUAAUUCAUUGUAUUUAUGUUGUAAACACAUUUGUAAAACCACGGCACUGAAUCUCCUUGGAAGGAUUGUGCAGACUAUUUGCGGCUGAGUUGAUGGGCAUGUGUGAGGCAUUUUGGAGAGGUUGCUGACCUGCUGAGCGGCGGCAUCCGCUGAAGCGGACUGGGCAGAAGGGCCGGCACACAUGCUGGACGGUCAAGGCCACACGGCAGUCCUGCGAGGAUGGCAGACGCUGGAGGCGGUGGCCGACUUAGCGACCAGCAGGCAGCUGGUAGAUAUAUCUUCGGCGGCGUGAAAAAGGCCUCCAGCAGUCAACAGAGGCCUGGCGCGGGCGACAACGGAGCACUUUCACUGCCGGUGCUACUACAAGGUCCCGAGGGACCCUCCCAAUGAGUGGAAGCCCAAGACCGGAGCCAGCAGGACGCACUUGAGGUCUACUGAAUGAAUGUAUUACAUGUCUGGAGACAUGCUCGACCGGCGGGCAGCUGGUAGACAUGACAUCAUCAGGUGCGUGAAUAAGGGUCCGAAGCGGGCGAGCCCCCUCGGGCCUCCAGCUGUCAACAGGGGCCUGGCGCGGGCGACAAUGGAGCACUUUCACUGUCAGUGCUACUACAAGGUCCCGAGGGACCCUCCCAGUGAGUGGAAGCCCGAGACCGGAGCCGGCAGGAUGCACUUGUGGUCCGCUGAAUGAAGGUAUUACGUUUCUGGAGACACGCUCGACGGCGACGGCGGGAGGUGAUUCACUUCAAACCUGGUGUCCAAAUGCUGCACGGGUCUUCCCAUGAACGUCUUCGACAGCGGCCACGCAUUGCCGACCACCACGUCAUCCAAGACGGUCAGUAAACGAGACGCCAAUGAUUGCUGCCAGAGACAAGUUCCUGCUACACGGCGGGGCUGCCUGUACUGUACAUGCCAAGGAAAAAAAGCUGUAGCUCACCUUGGCAAACUCAUCCCACAUAGCUGCCACAUCCAACCUGUUGUCUGACAUGUGUAGUGCGAUGUUUUCGUGUGAAAAUUGCAAAUUUAUAAAAAUUAUUUUGGGCUCCCUAAAGACCGUUGAGAAGGGAGCGGUAGGAAGCUUUGUUCUGAUUGUUGCCUUAUGUAUGUUUCUUUUUUUUUUUUUUACAUGUCUGAUAUGUGCCUUACUGUUUCCAUCUUACACAUUUACAUGUUUUCUCUAUGUUUUACUAUCAAGUUUUAUUUUUGUUAAUGGACUCUUGUAUUAUUUUGGCAUUUGGUGUAAAGUUUCACUUGUUUUAUGACACUCAUAUGUUGUUAGGUUGUGUUGAUACUUAUAUGUUUACAUUUAAGGGACAGAUUUACACAUUUUAGAUAAAUAAGAAGCACAGAUAACUCUCAAAAUUUAACCUAGUAAUAGUUUCUUUUUGGAUGAAUGUGAAAGCGUGUGUAAUCAACGUUCUGUCAAGGAAUGAAUGUGGCAAUGUGUAUAAUUGGGCCGGGACAGUAAUUUUUCCAAGGGCAGAGAAUCCUCAAGACCACAAUAUUAUAUUCAAGUUAGGGAAUAACCUUCUCUGACCCCAACUUCAGGAUGAAUGAGUAGAUAAAUGUCUGCAUGGCCCUGUUUUCUCUAUGUUUUACUAUCAAGUUUUAUUUUUGUUAAUGGACUCUUGUAUUAUUUUGGCAUUUGGUGUAAAGUUUCACUUGUUUUAUGACACUCAUAUGUUGUUAGGUUGUGUUGAUACUUAUAUGUUUACAUUUAAGGGACAGAUUUACACAUUUUAGAUAAAUAAGAAGCACAGAUAACUCUCAAAAUUUAACCUAGUAAUAGUUUCUUUUUGGAUGAAUGUGAGAGCGUGUGUAAUCAACGUUCUGUCAAGGAAUGAAUGGGGCAAUGUGUAUAAUUGGGCCGGGACAGUAAUUUUUCCAAGGGCAGAGAAUCCUCAAGACCACAAUAUUAUAUUCAAGUUAGGGAAUAACCUUCUCUGACCCCAACUUGAGGAUGAAUGAGUAGAUAAAUGUCUGCAUGGCCCUGUAACUGUUUAAUAAUUGUUAUUUCAAUCUGGGUCUUCAAGAAAAUGACCCGAUGGUAUACUCAUCAAACUUUAUUUUUCAUUUAAUUUUGUGGGCAUGCAGCAGAGAGAGUAUGGAUGACCCCUGGUUGAAUGUGGUUAAGACAGGGUAUAGACCUGUGCUGGGAUUUAUGGUGUAGAAAUAUUGAUUCAUGUUCAUUUAUUUGAUAAUGCCUCUUCUAAGUGUCACAAUUUAUUCUGUUCCGUGUCACACUAACCUUUUAAAGUGCGACACUCCCCAUGAAUAAAUUUCAGAGAUACGGGGAUGUUGUGAGAGAUUGCAGGGCACUCUCACUUCUGAUUCGGUGUAGGGAAUACGAUCUACUGCGAUUUGACUUCAUACAUUAUGAUGAAAUGGUGGGCAGCAUUUUAUGGUCUUGUUUGCAUGCUCUAGGGAAGGAAAUACGGUAAGCUUUACCUGCUUUCAAAGGAACAGGGUGCUGACCUAAACGACUGCAGUAAAAGCACGGCGUUGGUGGGCCGACAAAGCGCGUUUUUUCUGGAGAACGGUGAGGAGACAUUUUCAGAUGGCACCCUGUUCUUUCGAACCAUAUUUUUCCUUUUUUUUUUUGUAUGGUAGAAUAUAGAUGCUUGGUGGUGGCGUAGUUUGAUGCCAUAACCUGGAUUCACGUGUAUGAAGUGAGAUAGAGCGAGUAGUGUUCUGGUUAGCGACGUGUGUCGAUCCCCAGCAGAUCACUUUGUCCACCAUAGAUCCCAGGUUAAUAAGGCGUUUGUUAAAUAAAAAUUUUUUUGUAUGAUGUUUCUUUAAUAAUUUUGUUGUCUUGUCAUGCUUAAGAUCAAUAAAUCGAUUGUGAAUUAGACUACAA